GAUGAAGAACGUAGUGAAAUGCGAUAAGUAAUGUGAAUUGCAGAAUUCAGUGAAUCAUCGAAUCUUUGAACGCACAUUGCGCCCCCUGGUAUUCCGGGGGGCAUGCCUGUUCGAGCGUCAUUUCACCACUCAAGCCUCGCUUGGUAUUGGGCAACGCGGUCCGCCGCGUGCCUCAAAUCGACCGGCUGGGUCUUCUGUCCCCUAAGCGUUGUGGAAACUAUUCGCUAAAGGGUGUUCGGGAGGCUACGCCGUAAAACAACCCCAUUUCUAAGGUUGACCUCGGAUCAGGUAGGGAUACCCGCUGAACUUAAGCAUAUCAAUAAGCAGAGGA
rnacentral:misc_RNA from 1 species